rnacentral:rRNA from 1 species
UACGUAGGGGGCAAGCGUUGUCCGGAAUUAUUGGGCGUAAAGCGCGUGUAGGCGGCCAGAUAAGUCCGCUGUGAAAUCUCGAGGCUCAACUUCGAGCUGUCGGUGGAAACUGUCUGGCUAGAGUCCGGAAGAGGAGAAUGGAAUUCCUGGUGUAGCGGUGAAAUGCGCAGAUAUCAGGAAGAACACCCGUGGCGAAGGCGGUUCUCUGGGACGGGACUGACGCUGAGACGCGAAAGCGUGGGGAGCGAACAGG